rnacentral:lncRNA from 1 species
AUGAGAAAGGUAUCAAACAGCCUUGAGACUUACACCAAGAGACCAGAAAAAAGAGCUGACAGGGAAGACACAGAGAGAAAGCCAAGUCCACAAACGGUGCAUCAGCUGACCAUUUUGUUCAACCUCUCUGGGCCUCAUUUGGAAAACAAGACAAUUCAAAUAAAAAGAUCUUUGCAAGUUACGUUCACAUAUCCUGGAAGACCACAGCUGUACGGACUUCAGCGGAGAUGUUCUACACUGAUUUUCCAGAUUCCAUAACUAGAUUAUUAAAUCCUUAAAGACAAAGCAAGCAUCUGACUCAUCUCUUGUAGCUUCGUAACACACAGGAGGUGUUUAAUCCAAGCCACCAGAAUGCAGUCUCCUAAAACAUUCUGAGGUCCAGCCUAGAGACAAAAGCUACUCAGCCGCAAAAUAUAAACAAGAAUUUACUCUGAGAUGAGCCCCUGGAAAAUGGAGCGGGCACAGGAGACUGGUGCUUGGGAAUCCAAAAAUUACUCAAAGGACAAGCCCUACUUGAGAAAAGAAAGUGUCAGCCUCCCAUCAAUC